UGUCCAGUAACUCCUAUCUCUACCUCCCCGUGGUGCCGGGUAUGAGUAACCAUAGGGAAGAUCGGGUAACCAACCCUGGUGGAACCUUGGUCGUAUGCUGACAGGGAAGG
rnacentral:ribozyme from 1 species